rnacentral:rRNA from 1 species
GACGAACCGUCCAAACGUUAUUCGGAAUUACUGGGCUUAAAGGGUGCGUAGGCGGCUCUGCAAGUUGGGUGUGAAAUCCCUCGGCUCAACCGAGGAAUGGCGCCCAAAACUGUGGAGCUCGAGGGAGACAGAGGUGAGUGGAACUUGUGGUGGAGCGGUGAAAUGCGUUGAUAUCACAAGGAACACCGGUGGCGAAAGCGGCUCACUGGGUCUCUUCUGACGCUGAGGCACGAAAGCUGGGGGAGCGAACGGGAUUAGAUACCCCCGUAGUCCCUGAG